rnacentral:rRNA from 1 species
UAAGCCAUGCGAGUUAAUGUUCUUCGUGAACAUAGCAGACUGCUCAGUAACACGGGGAUAACCUGCCCUUAGGACUGGCAUAACCCCGGGAAACUGGGGAUAAGUCCGGAUAGAUCAUAAAUGCUGGAAUGCUUUAUGAUUGAAAGGUUUCGACCGCCUUAGGAUGGAUCUGCGGCCUAUCAGGUUGUAGUGGGUGUAAUGUACCUACUAGCCUGCGACGGGUACGGGUUGUGGAAGCAAGAGCCCGGAGAUGGAUUCUGAGACAUGAAUCCAGGCCCUACGGGGCGCAGCAGGCGCGAAAACUUUACAAUGCGGGAAACCGUGAUAAGGGAACACUGAGUGCUAGCAUUUAUGUUAGCUGUCCACAUGUGUAAAUAGCAUGUGAUAGCAAGGGCUGGGCAAGACCGGUGCCAGCCGCCGCGGUAACACCGGCAGCCCGAGUGGUGAUCACUAUUAUUGGGUCUAAAGGGUCCGUAGCCGGUUUAAUCAGUCUUCUGGGAAAUCUAAUCGCUUAACUAUUAGGCUUCCAGGGGAUACUGUUAGACUUGGGACCGGGAGAGGUAAGAGGUACUGCAGGGGUAGGAGUGAAAUCUUGUAAUCCCUGUGAGACCACCAGUGGCGAAGGCGUCUUACCAGAACGGGUCCGACGGUGAGGGACGAAAGCUGGGGGCACGAACCGGAUUAGAUACCCGGGUAGUCCCAGCUGUAAACGAUGCUCGUUAGGUGUCAGGAACGGUGCGACUGUUUCUGGUGCCGAAGGGAAGCCGUGAAACG